CUUGUUGUUUACAUGAGUAUAUUUAAUUAGAAUUGUGUGAAAUUGCAGAAAUUGUAUUUUUCUUUAGAGCUUACGGAUUUCAUUAACUAUUUUUCAGUGUGAUGUCACUGCCACACCUAUCCAGAAUCACUUCCAACAAAAAAUUGACAGGGCACCUCUUGACCAUGAUGGUGAAGAAAACAACUAUCAUGCACCAAAUUUCAUUGCACGGUUGGCUCAAUACUUCCUGCCGCAUGCCGCUCUGUGGUCUGGUCUGAUGCUAGGGGAUAUUGGCCGUCAUGGUACAGGCCCAGCAUACCAGCAUUUCAGCAAGAUCCACAAAGAAGUCAGUCAGUCCAAUAAACAGAACUUUACACAAGACAACCGGACACAGGGCAUUAUGGAAAAAAGUCAGUGGGACCUCAAGAGAAUACGAUUCCAGAGAAGGCGACUCACACGAUUUGAUGAUUUUGUGCAGACAUACCAAAAAACUCAUGAUGCACUGAUCAUUGAAUACCAAGACAGAGAAAGAACCAGAAAGAAAUCUUUUCGAGUGGAAAUGGAGCAGUGGAAGAAGAAAAGUCAGGGGCGUAAAGGAGUAUACGUCUCCCGACUAGUGAAGAGUCUCCCAUUCAAAGAAGUCAGAAGCAAGAAGUCUCCAAAGGCAGCCACCAAUGAACCCAAAGAAAAACCCGAAGCUGUGAUCUCGACACAGGAUGAUUUGGAAGCUGCAGACACUGCAGCGGAAAAGGCAACCACAGCCAUCGUACACCCUCAGAAAGCAGCAGUGCAGCAUAUAAGAAGGAGAAAAUCCAAUGUUGAAGGGCCUAUUUGGAAAAACUACAGUGCUACGGGAAAAACAGUUACAAGAAGGCUCUCCCGACCAGCUAAGAUAAAUACUCUGCAAGAAAUCCUUCACCAUGACUACUGGUUGACCAGUGAUGCCAUGGAUCAAGCCAGCUACCUCAUGGCCAAGGAUCAUGACCACAUUGACGGAUUUCAAUCGGUUUUACCGUUUAGCGCAAUUGCACAAGGAGGGAUUGUGGGGACUCCUGAAAAGAAAUUUGUUCAGAUGUUGAACAUCAGACAGAGCCACUGGAUAACGGUCAGCAAUUUGUUUUGCAAUGACACUCAACUCGCCGUUUAUGACAGCCUACGUAGCCCUCUGGACCCAAGAACACUGCAGGCACUGUCCUGGCUGCUAAGGCCACAGUCUGACACUUUGGAAGUUUUGCAACCAGCAGUGCAGCAGCAAGCAAAUUUGAGUAACUGUGGGGUGUUUGCAAUAGCCUUUGCAUAUGCAUUAUGCAAGGGUCAUCAACCAGAACAGUGCAUAUUCAAUGAAGGCAGGAUGAGGGCACAGCUGUACAAGUCAUUCACAAGGAACAACAUCACAUUUCGAAUGAAUGUUGAAGACAGAGAAGCUCAGUCAAACAUCACAACAACUACAGUACCGGUAUACUGUGUUUGCAGAACAGCUCAUUACAAAGAGAUGAUGGUGCAGUGUUCACUGUGCAAAGAGUGGUAUCAUCCCACAUGCGUCAACAUUCCGAGAGCUGUGAUCGGGAAUGAUGACAUCUGGCAGUGUUCCAAAUGUGAACAAGCCAAUAGCACUUGA
rnacentral:lncRNA from 1 species